rnacentral:rRNA from 1 species
CGCUUACCACUUUGUGAUUCAUGACCGGGGUGAAGUCGUAACAAGGUAACCGUAGGGGAACCUGCGGUUGGAUCACCUCCUUA